UACACUCCUGCGGGAGGCAGCAGUGGGGAAUUUUGGACAAUGGGCGAAAGCCUGAUCCAGCCAUGCCGCGUGCAGGAUGAAGGCCUUCGGGUUGUAAACUGCUUUUGUACGGAACGAAACGGCCUUUUCUAAUAAAGAGGGCUAAUGACGGUACCGUAAGAAUAAGCACCGGCUAACUACGUGCCAGCAGCCGCGGUAAUACGUAGGGUGCAAGCGUUAAUCGGAAUUACUGGGCGUAAAGCGUGCGCAGGCGGUUAUGUAAGACAGUUGUGAAAUCCCCGGGCUCAACCUGGGAACUGCAUCUGUGACUGCAUAGCUAGAGUACGGUAGAGGGGGAUGGAAUUCCGCGUGUAGCAGUGAAAUGCGUAGAUAUGCGGAGGAACACCGAUGGCGAAGGCAAUCCCCUGGACCUGUACUGACGCUCAUGCACGAAAGCGUGGGGAGCAAACAGGAUUAGAAACCCUAGUAGUCCCAU
rnacentral:rRNA from 1 species